rnacentral:rRNA from 1 species
GAUGGACGCUGGCGGCGUGCCUAACACAUGCAAGUCGAGCGAACAGACGAGGAGUUUGUUCCUCUCACGUUAGCGGCGGACGUGUGAGUAACACGUGGAUACCCUCCCUAUAAGUCGGGGAUAACUUCGGGAAACCGGAUCUAAUCCCGUAUAACCUGUUGAACCGCGUGGUUCAACAGUGAAAGUCGGCCUUGCUGUCACUAAUAGAUGGUUCCGCGCCGCAUUAGCUAGUUGUUAAGUUAACGGCUUACCAAGGCGACGAUGCGUAGCCGACGGCAGGGGCUGGUCGGCGGCACGGGAACUGAGACAGGGUCCAGACUACUACGAGAGGCAGCAGUAGGGAAUCUGCCGCAGUGGGCGAGAGCCUGACGGAGCAACGCCGCGUGAGUGAAGAAGGUGUUCGGAGCGUAAAACUCUGUUAUUGGGGGAGAACAACUGUGUAAGGAACUGUGCACGGCUUGACGGUAACUGGUCAAGAAGCAACGGCUAACUACGUG